CAAAUUGAGAGUUUGAUCCUGGCUCAGGAUGAACGCUGGCGGCGUGCCUAAUACAUGCAAGUCGAACGCUUUGUGGUUCAACUGAUUUGAAGAGCUUGCUCAGAUAUGAYGAUGRACAUUGCAAAGAGUGGCGAACGGGUGAGUAACACGUGGGAAACCUACCUCUUAGCAGGGGAUAACAUUUGGAAACAGAUGCUAAUACCGUAUAACAAUAGCAACCGCAUGGUUGCUACUUAAAAGAUGGUUCUGCUAUCACUAAGAGAUGGUCCCGCGGUGCAUUAGUUAGUUGGUGAGGUAAUGGCUCACCAAGACGAUGAUGCAUAGCCGAGUUGAGAGACUGAUCGGCCACAAUGGGACUGAGACACGGCCCAUACUCCUACGGGAGGCAGCAGUAGGGAAUCUUCCACAAUGGGCGAAAGCCUGAUGGAGCAACGCCGCGUGUGUGAUGAAGGGUUUCGGCUCGUAAAACACUGUUGUAAGAGAAGAAUGACAUUGAGAGUAACUGUUCAAUGUGUGACGGUAUCUUACCAGAAAGGAACGGCUAAAUACGUGCCAGCAGCCGCGGUAAUACGUAUGUUCCAAGCGUUAUCCGGAUUUAUUGGGCGUAAAGCGAGCGCAGACGGUUAUUUAAGUCUGAAGUGAAAGCCCUCAGCUCAACUGAGGAAUUGCUUUGGAAACUGGAUGACUUGAGUGC
rnacentral:rRNA from 1 species